ACGGGAGGCAGCAGUGGGGAAUAUUGGGCAAUGGGCGGAAGCCUGACCCAGCAACGCCGCGUGAAGGAAGAAGGCUUUCGGGUUGUAAACUUCUUUUACCAGGGACGAAGGACGUGACGGUACCUGGAGAAAAAGCCACGGCUAACUACGUGCCAGCAGCCGCGGUAAUACGUAGGUGGCAAGCGUUGUCCGGAUUUACUGGGUGUAAAGGGCGUGUAGGCGGAGAUGCAAGUCAGGAGUGAAAUGUAUGGGCUCAACCCAUAAAUUGCUUUUGAAACUGUAUCCCUUGAGUAUCGGAGAGGCAGGCGGAAUUCCUAGUGUAGCGGUGAAAUGCGUAGAUAUUAGGAGGAACACCAGUGGCGAAGGCGGCCUGCUGGACGACAACUGACGCUGAGGCGCGAAAGCGUGGGGAGCGAACAGGAUUAGAUACCCUGGUA
rnacentral:rRNA from 1 species